rnacentral:rRNA from 1 species
GACGAACACUGGCGGCGUGCUUAACACAUGCAAGUCGAACGGAAAGGCCCUGCUUUUGUGGGGUGCUCGAGUGGCGAACGGGUGAGUAACACGUGAGUAACCUGCCCUUGACUUUGGGAUAACUUCAGGAAACUGGGGCUAAUACCGGAUAGGAGCUCCUGUUGCAUGGUGGGGGUUGGAAAGUUUCGGCGGUUGGGGAUGGACUCGCGGCUUAUCAGCUUGUUGGUGGGGUAGUGGCGUACCAAGGCUUUGACGGGUAGCCAGCCUGAGAGGGUGACCGGCCACAGUGGGACUGAGAUACGACCCAGACUGCUACGGGAGGAAGCAGUGGGGAAUAUUGCACAAUGGGCGGAAGCCUGAUGCAGCAACGCCGCGUGCGGGAUGACGGCCUUCGGGUUGUAAACCGCUUUCGCCUGUGACGAAGCGUGAGUGACGGUAAUGGGUAAAGAAGCACCGGCUAACUACGUG